UUUCCAAUUAGGGUCAGCUGCAUCUAACUAGCAGGCUGUAAAAGCCAGCCCUGCCUGAAAGCUAGUAUCUGGUCAUUUUGCCUGUUUGGUGUUUCCUGACGGAUCUUUGCUACACUACUGACUGAUUUCCUGGACUCUGACCUCUGCCUGCUUUACUGACUACGUUACUCCUCUGCCAGCCCUGACUUGUGCUUCUCGUCUGAUCCUGCCUUUGGAUUACCCCUUUAUCUGUACUGUGUUUUUGGAUUUUGUCUCCUCCUUGUGCCAUCUCCUGCAACUGGGCUCCAACUCCUGGUAAACUGUUCCAUAAGUCCCCAGGUGACUGUUACACC